ensembl:snRNA U6 U6 spliceosomal RNA
AUGCUCAUUUCAGCAGCACAUAUACUAAAACUGGAACAAAACACAGAUUGCCAUGGCUCCUGUGCAAAGAUGACAAAUAAAUUCAUGAAUCAUUCCAUAUUUUA